CAAAAGAGGUGAAGAGCACUAGCACCUUCUAGGCGAAAUCCUAGUCGAAAAGUUACCUAAACGGGGAAAGGCUUGCGAAAUUCUCGCAAGGCAAUCCCGUGCUAAAUUCAUUUCCUGAAACGAUUUUGCACUCAUUAAUUUUAUGAUGGGAAAUGAUAAAUGCCUAACGACUAUCGAAAGCACCUAAUAAAUGUAACUCCUAUGCGGAAAUAUGGGAGAAUAAGCCGAGAACCCGGACGAAGCGAGUAGAGUACCCCUCAAGUGAGGCUUCCAUGAGAAGAUAACCGGUCAAGAAGACCGUGAAAGGGAAACGGUAACCACCUGACCAUUUAGUUGAAGGUGAUGAUAUAGUCUCCUCUAUACAGCGAUGUAUAG
rnacentral:ncRNA from 1 species